rnacentral:rRNA from 1 species
UUGAACGCUGGCGGCAUGCCUUGCACAUGCAAGUCGAACGGCAGAGGGGCAACCCUUGAGAGUGGCGAACGGGUGAGUAAUGCAUCGGAACGUGCCCAGUCGUGGGGGAUAACGCAGCGAAAGCUGUGCUAAUACCGCAUGUGAUCUGUGGAUGAAAGCAGGGGACCGCAAGGCCUUGUGCGAUUGGAGCGGCCGAUGUCAGAUUAGCUAGUUGGUAGGGUAAAAGCCUACCAAGGCGACGAUCUGUAGCUG